AUACGAAGGGGGCUAGCGUUGUUCGGAAUUACAGGGCGUAAAGCGCGCGUAGGCGGAUUGAUCAGUCAGAGGUGAAAUCCCAGGGCUCAACCCUGGAACUGCCUUUGAUACUGUCAGUCUUGAGUUCGAGAGAGGUGAGUGGAAUUCCGAGUGUAGAGGUGAAAUUCGUAGAUAUUCGGAGGAACACCAGUGGCGAAGGCGGCUCACUGGCUCGAUACUGACGCUGAGGUGCGAAAGCGUGGGGAGCAAACAGGAUUAGAUACCCCAGUAGUCC
rnacentral:rRNA from 1 species